rnacentral:lncRNA from 1 species
CUUUAUUGAUAGUUUGACAUUUGUUAGUGGAUACAUCAAAUACCGGUACCUUAUCCCGGCUUCGUUAACCGUUAGUAGCAUAUAGUCAAUUUGGUUAGUAUUUGUUAGUUUUUUUAACUGUAAUAUAUACAUUUAUAAAUCAUUGUAAAUUAUAAUAUAUCCAACUAAAACAUUAUCAAUACAGAAUGAUCAAUAAAUCUGAAUAUAUAAUAAAAAAUAUAAAGAAUAAAUAAAUAAAAAUCACAGAAAUUUGGAAUUUUGGAAAAAGCAAAAAUAAAAAUAAAAAUAAAAAUAAUAAAUAUAUUUUACUUACAGCAUUCAUAAUGUAGCUUGCAGGAUUUAUUUAUUCAAAUAUUCGCGUACAGGCAAUAACUUAGAGGAACAUACAUGUAGAUAUAAACAUAGACUAAAAC